AGAGUUUGAUCAUGGCUCAGGACGAACGCUGGCGGCGUGCCUAAUACAUGCAAGUCGAGCGAGGUUGUUUGGGAUGCUUGCAUUUCAAACAACCUAGCGGCGGACGGGUGAGUAACACGUGGGCAACCUGCCCUGUAGACUGGGAUAACUUCGGGAAACCGGAGCUAAUACCGGAUAACUCUUUUAGCCUCAUGGCUUUAAGCUAAAAGGCGCUUCGGCGUCACUACAGGAUGGGCCCGCGGUGCAUUAGCUAGUUGGUAGGGUAACGGCCUACCAAGGCAACGAUGCAUAGCCGACCUGAGAGGGUGAUCGGCCACAUUGGGACUGAGACACGGCCCAAACUCCUACGGGAGGCAGCAGUAGGGAAUCUUCCACAAUGGACGAAAGUCUGAUGGGGCAACGCCGCGUGAGUGAUGAAGGUUUUCGGAUCGUAAAACUCUGUUGUAAGGGAAGAACAAGUGCGUUAGGUAAUGAACGCGCCUUGACGGUACCUUAUUAGAAAGCCACGGCUAACUACGUGCCAGCAGCCGCGGUAAUACGUAGGUGGCAAGCGUUGUCCGGAUUUAUUGGGCGUAAAGCGCGCGCAGGUGGUUUCUUAAGUCUGAUGUGAAAGCCCACGGCUCAACCCGUGGAGGGUCAUUGGAAACUGGGGAACUUGAGUGCAGAAGAGGAUAGUGGAAUUCCCAGUGUAGCGGUGAAAUGCGUAGAGAUUUGGAGGAACACCAGUGGCG
rnacentral:rRNA from 1 species